rnacentral:rRNA from 1 species
AAUCCAUAGGUUAAUGAGGCGAACCGGGGGAACUGAAACAUCUAAGUACCCCGAGGAAAAGAAAUCAACCGAGAUUCCCCCAGUAGCGGCGAGCGAACGGGGAGGAGCCCAGAGCCUGAAUCAGCAUGUGUGUUAGUGGAAGCGUCUGGAAAGGCGCGCGAUACAGGGUGACAGCCCCGUACACAAAAGCGCAUGUGCUGUGAGCUCGAUGAGUAGGGCGGGACACGUGGUAUCCUGUCUGAAUAUGGGGGGACCAUCCUCCAAGGCUAAAUACUCCUGACUGACCGAUAGUGAACCAGUACCGUGAGGGAAAGGCGAAAAGAACCCCGGCGAGGGGAGUGAAACAGAACCUGAAACCGUGUACGUACAAGCAGUGGGAGCCCCACCACUAAGCCAGUGGUGAACUCCACAUACGCAUCCUUUGCUGAGGAGACGGUUAACGGAGCGAAAGCGACGUUCAACCUCAAAACAAGCAGAGGGGGCUUAGUGGUGGGGUGACUGCGUACCUUUUGUAUAAUGGGUCAGCGACUUAUAUUCUGUAGCAAGGUUAACCGAAUAGGGGAGCCGGAGGGAAACCGAGUCUUAAU